AUUGAACGCUGGCGGCAGGCCUAACACAUGCAAGUCGAGCGAGCGGCGGACGGGUGAGUAAUGUAUGGGGACUGCCCGAUAGAGGGGGAUAACUACUGGAAACGGUGGCUAAUACCGCAUACUAUCGGAUAACCCAUAUGGGAUUAGCUAGUAGGUGGGGUAAGGGCUCACCUAGGCGACGAUCUCUAGCGGGUCUGAGAGGAUGAUCAGCCACACUGGGACUGAGACAAGGCCCAGACGCCUACGGAGGCAGCAGGGGGGAAUGUGGCGCAUUGGGCGCAAGCCUGAUGCAGCCAUUCCGCGUGUAUGAAGAAGGCCUUCGGGUUGUAAAGUACUUUCAGUCGGGAGGCGUUACCGACAGAAGAAGCACCGGCUAACUCCGUGCCAGCAGCCGCGGUAAUAC
rnacentral:rRNA from 1 species